CCCUCCCCCAAGCCACGACCCUCGGGCAGCGGGGUAGCCCGGCGAGGCCAGCGGCGGUGGGCAGCGCUGCCCCCGCCUCCCCACACCACGGCCCGCGGGAUCCGCGGGGAGCCGGGGGCAGCCUCCCCGCGGCGUGGGGUUUACCCUCACUCCCCAUUCCUGCUGCGCCGCUCUCCCCUCCCCACAGCCCCCCGUGAUGCUAUCUUAUGCACAAACUUUUCUCCGCACGCGGGAGCAGCGCCGGCCCCGCGGAGCCUCCGCGCCCUCCAUCCCUCCCGCGCAGCACAGGGGGCAAUGGUGCAGUAAGGACUCCAGCCCCUGCCUGCUGAUGCAGUGACACUUUGUGCAAGUCAGGAUGUUCAGCAGAACCCUAAGAAACUGAAGAGGAAGAUCUCUGAUCUGCGUUCUCAGAGAGGAGAAUGGAACACACAUCUUCCAAAGGCAGAGGACCAGGUGUAUGAGCCUAACUGGAGGCAAGCAUCACCUUACUCUGUUGUUGCAUCAAUAAAUCCUUUCAGACUAGGACAAUUAGCCUCUGAAAUAACUAAUCCUUGAAGGGAGAAGAGGGACAGACUUUAUCUUUGCUGAAGUAACUGCUGCAAAGGACACAUUUUCAAAACAAGUGCUGCCAAUGGCUGACUGAGGAUAUACAGGCAAUAAGAGGACAGGAGACUGCAGCAACACUGUAACUUUCAUCAUUUCUUAACAUGGAACAAGGCCAAGAAUAUUUUAGGGUAUUCAGGAAGAAGAAGAAAAUAGAAAACAGCACGCAGAGAACUGUUCUACACUCUGAAUGGAGUACAGUUACUUCAUGCUAGAUUUAUUUCAGCAAAACAUAACAGCUUUCCACAAAGUGGUUUAGAUGGGAUUCCCAGGUGACUUGUUGUGUAUUUAAAUACUGCCUGCGUAGGAUUUAAAUAAACAGCUUUUAUAUUAAUUAGAAACAAAUCCUCUCAAUUGGAAGGUAUUAACUAAAUUGCACACACAACACUUACUCAGACUUUGAUUCGGUCACAUGCUUUUAAACUUGCCAGCCACUCAUAGUCUAAUAUCCUAUAACCACAGUUUACAACAGGGCAAUAAAAUAUUGAUUCAAAUGUUUUAACCUUUCAUCGAUCGGCGUAACAUGUAAUUAAGUCCUAGGAGCAAGCGAGCAGCUCAUUGCUAGCACACCAGCCUGGGUACAUAUUUACAGCCUAAGCCUAGCAGAAUUGGUUUAUGCAUGUUUCACAGUAAUACACAUGCCAAUUAUCUCUUUGCUGGUUUCUGAUUACAGUUCAAUCAAAGACACUCCACACCGUGCAAGCAGGAUCUGAAUAUAGACUGCCAGGCUCUUCAUUGACCAAGUACAUUGAUUUCACCAGAUAAGAACCUGACUCAGAUGCUUUGUGCUACACUCUGCAAAAUCCCUGUAAAUGGGCCUGUGGCUCCCAGAAAGCACAGGACUUGUUAGUUCCACCUGAUACUGGGAGUGCAAACUCCCUCUGAAGGCAGAGCAAAGCUGCCUGCUUAAAUUCACAGGGGUGGUUAAUAGCUCUAAAGUUUUUAGAGCCUCAGAAUCAUCCCUCUUCAUAAGAUAACUGCCUUG